UUUCCAUAUUUAAAUUUUUAUGGUAGUACCUGCUCUAUGUAAUAUUUUAUAAAUGGCCGCAGUAUCUUGACUGUGCAAAGGUAGCAUAAUUAAUUGCCUUAUAAUUGAAGGCUUGUCUGAAUGGUUUGACGUGGUAAUUACAAAUAUUUGAUUUUUUGGUGAAAUUGAUUUGGAGGGCACAGAAUCCUCUUUUGUUAAUUAGACGGAAAGACCCCAGGAUCUUUUGUUUUUGUCUGGGGCAGAUGAAAAUUUUUCAUUUUUAUUUUGACCCUUUUUGGUUCAGUGAGUUAAGUUACCCUGGGGAUAACAGUGUAAUAGUUUAUUAGAGGUCUUAUCGAAUAAACUGUUUGCUACCUCGAUGUUGACUUAGGUAAAUAAGUUGGGCGCAGUAGUCUAGCUUUUUGGUCUGUUCGACCUUAGUUACCUCCAUG
rnacentral:rRNA from 1 species